rnacentral:rRNA from 1 species
UACGGGGGGGGCAAGCGUUGUUCGGAAUUACUGGGCGUAAAGGGCUCGUAGGCGGCCAACUAAGUCAGACGUGAAAUCCCUCGGGCUUAACCGGGGAACUGCGUCUGAUACUGGGUGGCUAGAGUGUGGGAGAGGGAUGCGGAAUUCCUGGUGUAGCGGGUGAAAUGCGCAGAUAUCAGGAAGAACACCCGUGGCGGAAGGCGGCUCUCUGGGACGGUACUGACGCUGAGACGCGAAAGCGUGGGGAGCGAA